UGCAACCGCAUUAUUAUUAACUCGAAUAAUACGAAGGUGAUCGGCACCAUGAAGGAAGGAGGAUGAUCGUCGGGUGCAGCAGCGACAAUCUUUGAUGAUUGUUUUCAUUUAGCUUGUGAUUUUUCCAUUUCUAAAUUUGAGCACCGUAAUAGAGAAGCAAAUAAAGUCAGUCAUGAACUUGGCAAACUGGCUAGAUUUUCUUUCAUUUUCGAAUGGUUCAAGGAACCAAAUAGUGAUAUGGUACCAAUCCUCAAAACGAUGUAA
rnacentral:rRNA from 1 species